AAGGAUUUAAGUUAAAGAAACUAACAGCCUUCAAAGCUGUAAAUAAAGGAUUACUUUAAGCCUUA
rnacentral:tRNA from 1 species